rnacentral:rRNA from 1 species
CCUACGGGUGGCAGCAGUGGGGAAUAUUGCACAAUGGGGGAAACCCUGAUGCAGCGACGCCGCGUGAGUGAAGAAGUAUCUCUGGAUGUAAAGCUUCUUUAGUAGGGAAGUAGAAAUACGGUACCUUACUUAGAAGCCUCGGCUAACUACGUGCCAGUAGCCUCGGUAAUACGUAGGGGGCUAGCGUUAUCCGGAUUUACUGGGGGUAAAGGGAUUGUAGUGGGUUGUGCAAGUCUGAAGUGAAAGCCCAGGGCUCAACUCUGGGACUGCUGUGGAAACUGUGAGGCUAGAGUGCGGGUGAGGUAAGUGGAAUGCGUAGUGUAGCGGUGAAAUGCGUAGAUAUUAGGAAGAACACCAGUGGCGAAGGCAGCUUACUGGGCAAUAACUGACGUUGAGGCACGAAAGCGUGGGGAGCAAACAGGAUUAGAUACCCUGGUAGUC